GUUUGGGGGAACUUCGUCAGUAUGAGCUUUUUGCUCAACAGAUCCAUCCAGGAAAACAGCGAACUGAAAAUUGAAAGCAGAAUUGAAGAGAUUGUUGAGCCACUGAGAGAGAAAAUCAGAGAUUUGGAAAAAAGUUUCACCCAGAAAUACCCACCAGUGAAAUUCUUAUCAGAAAAGGAUCGUAAAAGAAUUUUGAUCACCGGUGGUGCAGGGUUCGUGGGCUCCCAUCUCACAGACAAACUCAUGAUGGAUGGCCAUGAGGUGACAGUAGUGGACAACUUCUUCACAGGCAGGAAGCGGAAUGUGGAGCACUGGAUUGGCCAUGAGAACUUUGAGCUCAUCAACCAUGACGUGGUAGAGCCCCUCUACAUCGAAGUUGACCAGAUCUACCACCUGGCAUCUCCGGCCUCCCCUCCCAACUAUAUGUACAACCCCAUCAAGACACUGAAGACCAACACCAUCGGGACACUGAACAUGCUGGGGCUAGCGAAGCGUGUGGGCGCCCGUCUGCUCCUGGCCUCCACGUCCGAAGUUUAUGGAGAUCCUGAAGUCCACCCACAGAGUGAGGACUACUGGGGUCACGUGAACCCUAUUGGGCCCCGGGCCUGCUAUGACGAGGGCAAGCGGGUGGCAGAGACCAUGUGCUACGCCUACAUGAAGCAGGAGGGCGUGGAGGUGCGUGUGGCCAGGAUCUUCAACACCUUUGGUCCACGUAUGCACAUGAAUGACGGGCGGGUGGUCAGCAACUUCAUCCUCCAGGCGCUCCAGGGCGAGCCCCUCACGGUGUACGGGUCUGGGUCACAGACAAGGGCAUUCCAGUAUGUCAGGCAAAUAUCCUCAAAUGCCUAUCCAUCAAGAAAUUUUUGUGGUACCUGGGGGCCACCCCAGGGUGCUGGGGGGCAGCCCCACCUCCAUCCGAAGCACCCCAUGGACCUUGUACCACAGGUCAGUGCCUGGGUAGGCAUCUUUGAGGACACUGGAAUUGGAUUUAAAAAUUAUAACCACCACCAUUGAUUUUUCCUGAAAACAGUUACAGUUUCUUACAUUUGUUCCAAAAGACAGCUGUGAAUAAAUGUAUAUCACAGUCAGAAAUAUUUUCUCUCCAACUAUUAGUAACGUUGGGAACAAGGCAAAAGCCUAUAAAUGAAGUACCACAGGCCCACAUGUUGCUUGAACAGGCAAACUUGUCCUGAACAGCAGCUUCUGGGGACCUGUGGCAGCCUCUCUUUGGAGACCAAGCUGGGGUUGCAGCUCAGAGAGCUCCCUUGGGCCCAGUCCACAGUGAGGCUGCAUCACAGGCUCCUUGCUCUGCAUCUGUUUUGCACAGUGAUACAGCUCAUCUGCACUCCCUUAGCUCUCCUUCCCCAGGCGGGCUCCUUCCUGGGGUCUCAGUGGCAGCUGCUGGGCCCUGGCCCCUGUUCAGUGAAUGUGAGUCUUUGAGGGAGAGCAGUGUGACUGUGCCUCCUCCUUGCUGCUCACAUUAUUUCAAAGGCUCCACAUCCAAAAGUCACUGAAAUAGCCUCAGAUAACUUUUUGGAACCCAGAGUAACAAGUAUUAUAAGAACUCAGUGGUGCCUGUGCUGCAUACUGUCCCAGCUUGGGACUUAACAUGCCACCAGCUGGGCUGCCCUGACAGUGAGGCUUGUACCCUGGCUGCUGUCACAUCCAUGCUGUCUCCCAGGCCACAGACACAGGGCAGAGGGCCUAAGUAGCACCUCAAGAAGCACAGGUACAAACCCCUGUGGAAAUCCCUCUGUGACCUGCCAGAAACCUCCUCUGAAGGGGUCCAGGGGAGGCAAUGAGCCUUCAGGAUAGUACCACUUUGUGGGCCAGUUAUUCAGGCCCCAGAUGAGAUCAUAAACUGACCACGGUUUUGCUCUUUUUAACAAGCUACUGUUUUAGGAACUAAGAAUCACGUCAGUAAAAAUGCUUGACAUCUGGAUGGUAGUUUCAGUACUAAAUUAACUGUUCCUCAAGCUGAGACGGCAGGCAGGAACGCAGAGCCCUCUGUGGCCAUCCCCAUUGACAUCUUGGCAUGCCUGUCAGAUUUCCACAUCAGGGUGUCUCCUCAUUCACAUAACAAACGCAUGCUGUAUUCUUUUAAAAAGUCACUUUGUCAAAAUGACACUUUUAAAGAGCCUCAGGUUAAACGAGAGUGAUCUCUACAAUUCUGACCUUAAAAGUUGCCAGCUCAUUGUAUAAGAGAUGCCUGGCCGUCUAGCCCUCCAAUGACAACUGCUUUGUGGCAGCUGUCUCCCGACUUAGUGUGCUCCACACCCUGGCUUCAGUGUGCAACCUGUUGUGGAUGCUACCAAAGGGCAGCUUUUAAUGUCUGCAGCUGUGUGCAGCCAAAGCCCUAAGAGAAGGCUGUGUACUGGAACGUGCACUGCCAUGGCGAUGAAGUGACUUUUUGCAGAGCUCAUCCGAGAUCAGCGAUGAUUGGCAUUUGCACUUGACCUUGAGAACAGCACAUUGAGCAUGUUCAUAUAUAGUACCCAUGUGUUAAAAAUGAAAAAGUAGAAAUGACUUUUUCACCCCACCCUCCAAAACAGAGUAACGUGUGACCCGGGGCUUUCAUCUAGUUCACUAUGACCCUUAGUCACCUGCUCCUCCCUGGUAAUGAUGGUACGAGGAGGGAGGUUUCCACUUGGACUACUUUGGGUCACCGGGACAGAACUUAAGUCUCUGAGAUGUGGAGCUGAUGAGCAAGAGCCUCAGGACAAGUACUUGUGAUCAGCAGUGAGGUGUCAUUUUUAUGAAGUAACUUUUUCUUAACAGAGCCACACUUAAAAGCUUCUGAAACUAAGAACCAAACCUUGGUAAGCGACAGUUUGCUUACUUCUCUUCACCUUCAUGGCCCAGCUGAUCACGACCCAUCUGCCGCAUCAGAUCCCGACAGCUCCAUCCGGGUUUUCUGGGCAGCAGGUGAAGGCUGGGGAGCAGGGAGCCGUGUCCCACUGAGUCCAGCACCCAUAUUGUUUGGCCUCAUCUGUGAUUUGCCAGUAUGGGGAUCGCAUACUGGGCCCCAUUCAUCUCAGUGAAUCUUAUAUUUUAAAAUAAUCACCUGUUUCCAUACCGGUCAGCGAAUUGAGGUGCAUAUCAAGCGUGGGCUUCCAUCGGGUGCUUCUGAGGCGCCAUCUCUCUGGGUGUGUGCCUCUUUGAACCCAUCUCUGGUUUGUGAUUGAGCCUUUAGCAGUGCAGAGUUGCAGCUCAGCCCACGCCACCACCAUCCUGUGUCACAGUCUCCACCCUGCACCAAACGCAAAUCCCAGAGGUCACUGGUAUCAUUUCAUCCACAAAAACCUUAGUAUCAUCAGCACCAUGUUGAGUUGCAGGAUGUUAUUUUGCCAUUCAGCUUUCCAUUCGGGCUUUGUUUGGGGACGGACGGCUAUGAGCUUCCUUCCGGGAGGGCUGUUGCCUGGCUCUCAAGGGCCUUGCAGUGGGGCACCUCACUACCCCCUUCUCUUCCAGUGACCUGGUAAAUGGGCUGGUGGCGCUCAUGAACAGCAAUGUCAGCAGCCCUGUCAACCUGGGGAAUCCAGAAGAACACACAAUCCUGGAAUUUGC